CUCAUAUAUAAACAAGGGCAAGAAGGAAGUGGGCCCCUUCUCUCUUCCUCCAGAGUCACCAUGUGAUCCCGGGAUGAGGAUGCCAAUGGCAGGCUUCCUAAAUAAGAUAAGUCUUAUAAAAUAUAUAGAUUUAUGAUAAUUAAGACUGAGCUAACAAAUGAGAAAUCCUAGUCGUUGGCCAAGCAGCAUUUGUACCUAAUAGAAGUCUCUGUGUAUUAUUUGGGGCCCUAACUCAGCGGGCAGAACUCGGGCGGCUGGCGGGAAGUGCCCACGUGGCGGUAGGGCUCAGGUGGCUUUUGGAGGAAAGAUUUAUCAUAACAGAGUAGGGGAAGUAGAGGGAGAUGGAGUAGGGGAAGUAGAGGCAAGUGGGUGUGAUUAACAUACAUAAAUAUAUGGACCUUUUAAAGAACAAAAGGUGCAAUUUUUAAAAGCCUCAUUGUCUUUUCACCUAGUAUAAAUAAUACUGUUGUUAAUAAUAAUGCAGAGAAGGUAUUUCUGAUAUUAAGGGAUAAAAUAACCUAAAAGAUAAUUGGUAACAAAGACCAGCAGACAUAAGGAGCCGCAGAUCUGAAUUAGUACUGUUAGCUCGAAUCUGAAUGAAAUCAUGAAUUUUCCGUGAAAGUCAGUUUUUCUUUUUAGUAAUUGGACUCCAUGAAACUCUGAAUCUCUAGGGUUUUGUAUUUUUAUUAUUAGCUGUAUUCAUAGGAAAUGUACUCAAUGAGACAAGAAUAGAGGAGAAUAGAGCAUUUGAAAUCUGUGAUGCAUCAGCACCUCAUUUGUUACCUUGCUGUCACCAUCACCGAAGGGAAGGAUGGGAGAAAGGUGGAAUUAAGCAGAUUUAGUUUGCACCUCUAAGAGCAAAGCCCACACUGUUAGCAUUCUUCACCCACUAAGGACAACUAGUAAAUACUAGGCACCCUCCCUUGCCUACCAGAUGCUCCAUCUCACAGGUGAAGACACAGAAAUGCAAACAAAUUAGGUACCACAAGAAAAGCAUGGUGGCAGCCUCCCUGGUGUCCAUGAACACUUAUGUGAAGCAAUCAGACUACUGUGGUCCCAGGAGAAAGAUGUUAGGUAAUGUCUCUGGGACACAUUUGCUCUACAAAGCUUUUAAAGUUCCCUCUUCUGGAAGCAUUCCAGAUGGAGACCCUUCUCCAUCUUCCAGCAAUGAUGCAUUGUAACCUAGUCCCAAAAUGACAGUGCCAAGGACUGGGGAAGAUGACUCAGUUAGUAAAGUGCCUAUUAUGUAAGCAUAAGGACCGGCGUUUGGAGUACCAACAUAAAAACCAGGUGUGGCAGCACCAGGGAGGUAGAAACAGGUGUGGAUCUAGGUUGCUCCUUGGCUAGCCAGCCAAAUACAUGAGUUCCAGGUUCAGUGAAAGACAGUCUGAAAAGAGAAUGUAGAGAAUGAUAGAAGUAAACAUCAAAUGUUAACCUCUGGCCUCCACACACAUGUACAAAACCACAUACAUUCAUGUAUGCCUACACACACACACACAUGAAAGAUGGAUGGAUAGAUAGAUGGAUGGAUAGAUAGAUAGAUAGAUAGAUAGAUAGAUAGAUAGAUAGAUAGAUAGAUAGAAUGUCAAGGCAAAAGAAGGGGCAAAGAGAAGAUUCAUGAUGGCUGGUCAUGGUCUUUUCACUAAGGGAUCCACUCUCCAACCCACAGCCAGCCCAACUCCUGGACUUUGUGUGCUGUGAGAUGCUUGGGAGAUAGUAGAUUUCCUAAGUCUACAGCAUCAUGAGUCAGAUUCUAGUUUCCCCUCAUCAAAAGCAUUCUGGGUUAUGCAACAAAAAGGCAGUAUCCAAACUCAAGUCUGUGUAAUUACCAAACACCUGGGCAUCCCCUGAGUCCUCUGAUGGGAGAGGAUAUCUCUACAGGGCAUACCGUUCUGCCUGGUUGCCAAGUAACAGUCUCAGUGGUCCUCAGCCACAGCAUGCAUACAUUCCUGGCUUUGCCUUUGAUUAGCUGUGAGAUCAUGGGUAAGUUUCUUCUCUUCUUUAUACCUCAUCUGAGAAAUGGGGCCAGUGAUAGCGCCUGCCACACAGGACUUCCAAGACAAGACACUUUGAGGCAGUAGAGAUACUUGGUGACUCAGAGUUCACAGACAAAAUAACACAGCAUAUGCUAUUUUUUCCUUGAUUUUUGCUCCUGUCAACUUUUGUCUUUUUUUGUGCCUUUGUUUAUUUGUUUUCCUUUGGAAGUAUUAGCAAUCACUUGCUAGGCAAGCACUCUACCAGUGAGCUCUCUCUCUUUCUCCCCACCCCCCUCUGUCCAGUUAAACAUUUUUAAUUAGUUAGCUGUCCUCGUUCAUUUCAAGAAAACAUUAGAGGAAGCAUUUAAAUGUUACUCAUAACGCCUCUGCUAUUUUCAGAAGUGUUUCCCAAAGGUCCAUCUGUCAAAGGCGUAGUUGUAGACUGUGCAGCUAUUGGGAAGUGAUGGAACCUUUAGGAGCUGGGACAUGGAGGGGUAUCACUAAAAGGAGUAUUAUUAGAACUGGCCUCUCCUACUGCAGCCACCAUGAGCCCCUCCCACAAGUACUGUGCUACCACAGGCCUGAAACAGACAAGCCAGAUUGGAUCUAUAUGUACCCCCCACUAAGAGUGCAUAGAUGGCUCAAGGAUGCUGUCUUAAAUGGAUGGUGAAGCCCAGCUUCACAUGCUCUUCGAGAGGCACACUGCAGUUUGGCUUAGACAAACUGGGUGAUGCCCACCCACCUUGAAGAGAGUCAUCUGCUCUGCUCUCCCCAUUGACUCAAAUGGUGAUCUCCUCCAGAAGUACCAUCAGAGACACAUCCAAAUAAUUUUGGUAUCUUUAGUGUCUCUCUGGGUAUUCUUCAUCCCAGUCAAAUUGACAAUAAAAUGAACCAUCAUACUAAGAGCGUGGAAACAUCAAAGAGAGCCGCAGUUGAGAGCAAUGGAACCUCAGAGUGGAUACAUUCAUUGACUGGGUCCCUCUUUAAUUUGCACCAGUCUCCAAAGAUUCAUCACAGAAAUCAUUGUGGAAACUAUACCACCAAGAGUUUAUCAUUUGAUUUUUUUUUAUAACUUUUCAACAUCACAUUUGGUUUAUACCUUUCAUUUGGUUGGUUUUUCUGUGUUUUAGAAGCAGGUUGAGUUAAAAUGGAAGAAUGAUGGCUGUGGCAAUGUAUAGUGAUUUCAAUGUACCCAGGAGUCAUGUUGGCAAGUGACAUGAAAAGUAGAUACCUUGCUCUACAAUUAAGCCCAGUACAAGCAAUUUCAUUUCCACAAAACAUCACCACACACAUGAAGUGGAUGUUGUCAGGUUCAAUGUUUUCUUGUUUGCAUUUAACUGGUAAAUAUUUUCCUGAUGGUGUAAUGGAUAUGAGUGUGUGGAAUGUACAGCUCUCUUCUG
rnacentral:lncRNA from 1 species